GAUGAACGCUGGCGGCGUGCCUAAUACAUGCAAGUCGAGCGAACUGAUUAGAAGCUUGCUUCUAUGACGUUAGCGGCGGACGGGUGAGUAACACGUGGGCAACCUGCCUGUAAGACUGGGAUAACUUCGGGAAACCGAAGCUAAUACCGGAUAGGAUCUUCUCCUUCAUGGGAGAUGAUUGAAAGAUGGUUUCGGCUAUCACUUACAGAUGGGCCCGCGGUGCAUUAGCUAGUUGGUGAGGUAACGGCUAACCAAGGCAACGAUGCAUAGCCGACCUGGGAGGGGUAUGCGCCAGACUGGGACUGAGACACGGCCCAGACUCCUACGGGAGGCAGCAGUAGGGAAUCUUCCGCAAUGGACGAAAGUCUGACGGAGCAACGCCGCGUGAGUGAUGAAGGCUUUCGGGUCGUAAAACUCUGUUGUUAGGGAAGAACAAGUACGAGAGUAACUGCUCGUACCUUGACGGUACCUAACCAGAAAGCCACGGCUAACUACGUGCCAGCCGCCGCCGUAA
rnacentral:rRNA from 1 species